GAGAUUCAGGGCCAACAUACAUAUUUCUGCAUUUCUGAUGCUUCCAGAUGCAGCGUGUUCCUAAAUGUUUAAUGGGAGUCACUCUAGUGUGCCAGUACGCUGGGACUAGCUAAGCUGAAUUAACCUCAGGAAAUACUUAACAGCAAGAGGUAACAAGAAAGCAGUAUGCAAGUGCUCACCAUUGCGUCUGGUACAUCAGCCAGGAAGACUGACCAGGCUGACUUCUUAGGUCACUGGUCUUGGGCCUCAUGGACGGGGCAAGAACCUCUUUGGGUCCUAACAAGAAAGUGUAUCCUCAAGAUUUCUUGAGUCCCCUUGGAGGUCUGGAGGAGGAUUCCUGGCUCCCCACUUGAGCAGCUCACAUCAUCCCCUGUCAGCCACCAAAGUUGCUACCAACACCUAUAGCUUCAAUUCCCAUCCCAGACUCCUCUUCUUCCAACCAGUUGAACUGGUUCCAGCUAGCCAUUGCCUGCAUUCAGCCACAGAGGCCCUCCCCCUGAACCUGCUUCAUGGCUAUGCCUAACCUGGUCAGAUGGCACCAUUCUGCUUCUGUAUUUCCUGCUUGCUUGUCCCAUAUGAGCCCUAGACCACCAGAGAGCAGGGCCUGAUAUUCUGGGAAUGAUCCUGAUCAGUGCCAAUGGACAUAAAUAAAUCUGCCUCUAAAUCCUGGGUGUUGUUUUGGUGUUUCUGCUUGCUGUUGUA
rnacentral:lncRNA from 1 species